rnacentral:pre_miRNA from 1 species
GGAGGGAGGCCGGAUCCUGGGCUGUGUCCCUGCGCCCUGUGCUCCCGGUCUGCGCUGUUGGAUUCGCGGUCCUAUCCGGGAAGCCCCCU